rnacentral:pre_miRNA from 1 species
AUCAUACUCCCUCCGUCCCAAAAUUCGUGUCUUAGAUUUAUCUUGAUACAGAUGUAUCUAAUACUAAAAAGUGACUUGAUACAUCCGUAUUUAGACAAAUCUAAGACAAAAAAUUUGGGACAGAGGGAGUAUAAA